GGCGGGCUUAACACAUGCAAGUCGAGCGAGAAAGGGACUUCGGUCCUGAGUAAAGCGGCGGACGGGUGAGUAACACGUAGGUAAUCUUCCCUUGAGCGGGGGACAACGUUCCGAAAGGGACGCUAAUACCGCAUAAGUUUCUCGAGACUCUGGUCUUGAGAAGGAAAGCUAGGCCGCAAGGUCCGGCACUCGAGGAGGAGCCUGCGUCGCAUCAGCUAGUUGGUGGGGUAACGGCCUACCAAGGCGAAGACGCGUAGCUGGUCUGAGAGGAUGAUCAGCCACACUGGGACUGAGACACGGCCCAGACUCCUACGGGAGGCAGCAGUGGGGAAUAUUGGACAAUGGGCGCAAGCCUGAUCCAGCCACGCCGCGUGAGUGAUGAAGGCCUUCGGGUCGUAAAGCUCUGUGGGGAGGGACGAACCGCUGCACGUUCAUAGCGUGCAGCAUGACGGUACCUCCUUAGCAAGCACCGGCUAACUUCGUGCCA
rnacentral:rRNA from 1 species